rnacentral:rRNA from 1 species
UUCCUACGGGGGGCAGCAGUGAGGAAUAUUGGUCAAUGGGCGAGAGCCUGAACCAGCCAAGUCGCGUGAAGGAAGAAGGUUCUAUGGAUUGUAAACUUCUUUUGUAAGGGAAUAAAAAGAGUUACGUGUAGCUUAUUGUAUGUACUUUACGAAUAAGGAUCGGCUAACUCCGUGCCAGCAGCCGCGGUAAUACGGAGGAUCCAAGCGUUAUCCGGAUUUAUUGGGUUUAAAGGGUGCGUAGGCGGACCCUUAAGUCAGUGGUGAAAGUUUGCGGCUCAACCGUAAAAUUGCCAUUGAAACUGAGGGUCUUGAGUGUAAAUGAGGUAGGCGGAAUGUGUUGUGUAGCGGUGAAAUGCUUAGAUAUAACACAGAACACCAAUUGCGAAGGCAGCUUACUGGGAUACAACUGACGCUGAGGCACGAAAGCGUGGGGAUCAAACAGGAUUAGAUACCCGAGUAGUCC